AUUGAACGCUGGCGGCAGGCCUAACACAUGCAAGUCGAGCGGAUGAGUGGAGCUUGCUCCAUGAUUCAGCGGCGGACGGGUGAGUAAUGCCUAGGAAUCUGCCUGGUAGUGGGGGACAACGUUUCGAAAGGAACGCUAAUACCGCAUACGUCCUACGGGAGAAAGUGGGGGAUCUUCGGACCUCACGCUAUCAGAUGAGCCUAGGUCGGAUUAGCUAGUUGGUGAGGUAAAGGCUCAACAAGGCGACGAUCCGUAACUGGUCUGAGACGAUGCUCAGUCACACUGGAACUGAGAAACGGUCCAGACUCCUACGGGAGGCAGCAGUGGGGAAUAUUGGACAAUGGGCGAAAGCCUGAUCCAGCCAUGCCGCGUGUGUGAAGAAGGUCUUCGGAUUGUAAAGCACUUUAAGUUGGGAGGAAGGGCAGUAAGUUAAUACCUUGCUGUUUUGACGUUACCAACAGAAUAAGCACCGGCUAACUUCGUGCCAGCCGCCGCGGUAAAAC
rnacentral:rRNA from 1 species